UACGUAGGGUGCAAGCGUUAAUCGGAAUUACUGGGCGUAAAGCGUGCGUAGGCGGCUAUGUAAGACAGAUGUGAAAUCCCUGGGCUUAACCUGGGAACUGCAUUUGUGACUGCAUGGCUAGAGUACGGUAGAGGGGGAUGGAAUUCCGCGUGUAGCAGUGAAAUGCGUAGAUAUGCGGAGGAACACCGAUGGCGAAGGCAAUCCCCUGGGCCUGCACUGACGCUCAUGCACGAAAGCGUGGGGAGCAAACAGG
rnacentral:rRNA from 1 species